rnacentral:rRNA from 1 species
AAUGAACGCUGGCGGCAGGCCUAACACAUGCAAGUCGAACGGAUCCUUCGGGAUUAGUGGCGGACGGGUGAGUAACGCGUGGGAACAUACCCAAAGGUACGGAAUAGCCUCGGGAAACUGGGAGUAAUACCGUAUGUGCUCGAAAGAGGAAAGAUUUAUCGCCUUUGGAUUGGCGCGCGUUGGAUUAGGUAGUUGGUGGGGUAAUGGCCUACCAAGCCGACGAUCCAUAGCUGGUUUGAGAGGAUGAUCAGCCACACUGGGACUGAGACACGGCCCAGACUCCUACGGGAGGCAGCAGUGGGGAAUCUUAGACAAUGGGGGGAAACCCUGAUCUAGCCAUGCCGCGUGAUCGAUGAAGGCCUUAGGGUUGUAAAGAUCUUUCAGGUGGGAAGAUAAUGACUGUACCACCAGAAGAAGCCCCGGCUAACUCCGUGCCAGCAGCCGCGGUAA